rnacentral:rRNA from 1 species
AUUGAACGCUGGCGGCAGGCCUAACACAUGCAAGUCGAACGGUAACAGGAAACAGCUUGCUGUUUCGCUGACGAGUGGCGGACGGGUGAGUAAUGUCUGGGAAACUGCCUGAUGGAGGGGGAUAACUACUGGAAACGGUAGCUAAUACCGCAUAACGUCGCAAGACCAAAGAGGGGGACCUUCGGGCCUCUUGCCAUCGGAUGUGCCCAGAUGGGAUUAGCUAGUAGGUGGGGUAACGGCUCACCUAGGCGACGAUCCCUAGCUGGUCUGAGAGGAUGACCAGCCACACUGGAACUGAGACGCGGUCCAGACUCCUCCGGGAGGCAGCAGUGGGGAAUAUUGCACAAUGGGCGCAAGCCUGAUGCAGCCAUGCCGCGUGUAUGAAGAAGGCCUUCGGGUUGUAAAGUACUUUCAGCGGGGAGGAAGGGAGUAAAGUUAAUACCUUUGCUCAUUGACGUUACCCGCAGAAGAAGCACCGGCUAACUCCGUGCCAGCCGCCGCAGUAA